GGGAAAAACCAAACAACUUUGGAGGUGGCUGUGCAUGCAGUUUAUGGAAGUGAGGGCAAAAGCCUACCCAUCCAGUAUUCCUAGGCAAUCUCCCAUCCAAGUACUAACCAGGCCCAAUCCUGCUUGGCUUUGUUAGUUUCAGUUUAAACCCUGUUUAACUUUGCCAAAUUAUUAACACAAAUGCAUGUAUAAAAGUUGAAUUUAAGGGUUGUGUAUUAGGGGGCCAUCUUGAUUUGACAAAAGGACAAGGUAACCUCCAUUUUGUGUUAGGUUCUUGUUCCCUUGUGCCAGGGAAAAGGCAGGAAACAGAAAGAACAGGCAUCUGGUGUUACUAGGCAACAGACUCCUAUAAAGGCGAACGAGGGGAGGAGUUAGUGGGUUGGUGCUUGAACUGUUUGAUGAAGGUUCAAGUAUCCAACACUCUCUCUCGUGGUGUGGCACAUUCUUUUCCACUGGCUAUUGGCCUGCAAUAGCCACCCACCACAUAGUUUGGGUUUGUUGUUAUUUUUCUUUGGGGAAGCAAACUUGCACUCGCGGACCCGAUCCGAUUAGUCAGUCAAACUCACAUCCAUAGACGGCGCAAAAGAGGGAUAGGGUGGGGUUUAAGAUAGGGAUACUUACCUGUCGGUUACCUCUGCAAUCCUCUGCGGGAAUCUGUUGCUGAUUUCGGUAAUCCGGAUCCUGAAGCCUCUUCAUCGGCAGCGCCUAAAAAAGUGGACAUCAAGUGGAGCUUUGCAGAGUUUUUUCAGCUCUUUGUUAUAUUUGACGUGCAAAGGAAACUACAAGAAACAAUAAGUAAGCAUGGCCAGAAAUACUUCAUGAGUCUGGCCUGGCCAGUAUUGAGGGCAUGUCUGAGCCAGAGUAUAACAUCUUUUAAGAAGGUCAUCAGAAAUCAAUGCAGCAAUAUUAAUAUGUGACCAAUAUCUAUAAACAUAGUAGCCAUCCACAUAGCCACGUUUGAAUGUUCCCUAAUUAGGGUUUUUGAACCAAAGACAGUCCAACCUCAGGCUACAAGUUUAACCCUCUUAUUUGUGGAUUUCUGAGCAGUUCACAGUGCUCAGAACAAAGUCACACAUGACUCAGGCCUGGUCUACACUACAGGUUUAGGUCGACUUUAGCAGCAUUAAAUCGAAUUAAGCCUGGACACGUUCACACGACGAAGCCCUUUCUUUCGACUUAAAGGGCCCUUUAAACCGGUUUCUUUACACCACCUUCGACGAGGGGAUUAGCGAUAAAAUUGACCUUUGCGGGUCGGAAUUGGGGUAGUGUGGACGGAAUUCGACGUAAUUGGCCUCCGGGAGCUAUCCCACAGUGCUUCAUUGUGACCGCUCUGGACAGCACUCUCAACUCAGAUGCACUGACCAGGUAGACAGGAAAAGACCCGUGAACGUUUGAAUUUCAUUUCCUGUUUGCCCAG
rnacentral:lncRNA from 1 species